UACAGAGGUCCCAAGCGUUGUUCGGAUUUACUGGGCGUAAAGGGUGCGUAGGUGGCUAGGUAAGUCUGACGUGAAAUCCCACAGCUUAACUGUGGAACUGCGUCGGAUACUAUCAAGCUAGAGGUAUGGAGGGGAGAUUGGAAUGCUCGGUGUAGCAGUGAAAUGCGUAGAUAUCGAGCGGAACACCAGUGGCGAAGGCGAAUCUCUGGACAUUACCUGACACUGAGGCACGAAAGCCAGGGGAGCAAACGGG
rnacentral:rRNA from 1 species